UACGGGGGGGGCAAGCGUUGUUCGGAAUUACUGGGCGUAAAGGGCUCGUAGGCGGCCAACUAAGUCGGAUGUGAAAUCCCCAGGCUUAACCUGGGAACUGCAUCCGAUACUGGAUGGCUUGAAUUCGGGAGAGGGAUGCAGAAUUCCAGGUGUAGCGGUGAAAUGCGUAGAUAUCUGGAGGAAUACCGGUGGCGAAGGCGGCAUCCUGGACCAACACUGACACUGAGGAGCGAAAGCCAGGGGAGCAAACGGG
rnacentral:rRNA from 1 species